rnacentral:rRNA from 1 species
GACGAACGCUGGCGGCGUGCUUAACACAUGCAAGUCGAACGGAAAGGCCCUGCUUUUGUGGGGUGCUCGAGUGGCGAACGGGUGAGUAACACGUGAGUAACCUGCCCUUGACUUUGAGAUAACUUCAGGAAACUGGGGCUAAUACCGGAUAGGAGCUCCUGCUGCAUGGUGGGGGUUGGAAAGUUUCGGCGGUUGGGGAUGGACUCGCGGCUUAUCAGCUUGUUGGUGGGGUAGUGGCUUACCAAGGCUUUGACGGGUAGCCGGCCUGAGAGGGUGACCGGCCACAUUGGGACUGAGAUACGGCCCAGACUCCCACGGGAGGCAGCAGUGGGGAAUAUUGCACAAUGGGCGGAAGCCUGAUGCAGCAACGCCGCGUGCGGGAUGACGGCCUUCGGGUUGUAAACCGCUUUCGCCUGUGACGAAGCGUGAGUGACGGUAAUGGGUAAAGAAGCACCGGCUAACUACGUG